CGACAAUGCAGUUAACGUUUCACGAUGUAGUGGAGGAGACAAAGUCAGCAGUGCGCUCUGCUCGAAACCGCGUAAUUUUCACGUUGAGAAGUUAUUGGAUAUUUCACAAUCACAAUUCGAGACCAGAAUUUCCGGAGUGGAAAUAAAACGUGCGUCUAUUGUGAAGUCGUCAGCGUUUUCUUAAACGUUAAGAUGAGGACUCUCGAGUCCUUCGUGUCCUAUAAAAAUUCCAUCUUCUCGGAUUUGAGUCCUUCUCAAGUGAAUUCGAACAUUCUAUCGUUAAACAAUUUCUAAAAAAUUCGUAGAAAACAGAAUUGCUCUUAAUACGCCGUCCCGGAAUUUCACGUUGAAUAUUUUUUUUAAUUGUUAAAAAUCAUCGCGUUUGUGAGCGUGACGACGAUUGAGAAAAGAUUUGGACAAUCUAAAAGGGCUAAUUACGCUUAAGAAAAUAUAAAUUUGCAUAAAUAUCCGCGGUCUAUCUAUUGAAGAAAACAAAAAAAGAGAAGAAGAAGGAAGGAAGUAACAGCAAAAGAGAGAAAGAGAAGAUGGAGAGCAGAAGGAGAGAAAUGGAGAUGCAACUGAGAAUCCCUGUCCAGUAAUAUUGAUAGCAGACAAUUACGCGUGGGCCGAGCCGCAGAUGCGCAAAAACACCAAGAAUAGAAGCUCGUAGCAGCUAUAUCUACGAUAGACAACUUUAGAAUCCAUCAAAUCCAAACUCCGUGAUAAGAAUCUCCAUCGUUAUUCAAGCCCGAAGAAACACACAUAAAAGAAAAAAUAAAAAAAGAUGGAACACACGAAACACGUUUCAUCGCUGUUAUUCUACCAAUUAACGCCUCGUUAAUCUUUUCUAAUAUCUUACAUAGAGGCGUUAAAUACGAAUAGCACGAACAACAUAAUAAGAUCGUGUUUUCUGAAUCAUCUCAAGGCGCUUCAUCUAAGCGACUGGUAAUGCAAAUUACGAAGAUUAAUGAACGUCUACCGACGUAUCUGGCCUGCAUGGUGAUUUCAAGCAAACAAGCAGCCAGAUUUUUAUGUUUCAUGGAAAACUACUGACAAAUUCCAUAGUACAAUUUUCCAACCGGUCUACGUGAUUUCGUACAUCACACUCUGACGCGAUGCAGAUAAUAAAGAGGAUUACCUUAUCAAGAAUUUAAUCCUCUGUACUUAACUGUUCUCUCCAAUUACGGGAUAAACGUAUAGAAAAUUCAGUUCGAUGAUUAUGAUCGUUAAUAAUUAGAAAUAUGGAAAGGUGGUAAAAUCGGUUGGCUGUUAAGCCACAAAGGUUGUUACAGGUGAAAGUUUACUGUGAAUUUUUCUUUUCCAUUAUAAAAUAUUAUAUAUAAUUUAAUAAAAUUAUAGAUCAGUGAAAUUAAAUGUUCUGUUAUUUUGUUUAAUCGCGAACUCUUAGAGGCUGUUAUGGGUGAAACGCACGCACCAUUACUGCGUCACAUUUUGCUUAAGCUAAAAAAUUAACAUAGUUAAGCACGAUUAAAUAUUUUAUCAUUAUUGGAUGCAAUGUUUGCGGCGUUUACGAUAUUAUUACAACUAAAUAUACAUCUUAUUCAAACAAACAUUCAUUCAUUACAGCAAACUUCAAUUAUGAACUAUUGUUCAAUUGCAAAUAUCCAACAAGAUAAAAAUUGAAUAAAAAAACAGUUAUGUCGGGGUCUAUGCACGUAGAACUCUAACUGAGAUUAGUUCAGUUGUUAAUGCUACUUUAUUUAUUUGCUUUAUUUUACGAUCUCAAUAUGUAUAUCGUUUCUAUUCGCUACACGAAGAAUUCGAAGAAUUUAUGAUCUAGUAUUUAGUCGUUGCUCGAGCUACAACUGGACAAUGGAGGUGUCGAAUUGGACCUUCGUUGCUACGUGAAACGCGUAUGCAAGGUAUCCGCGAUCAUUUAGGAACAAUUAGACCGAGAUAUUUGGAUAAUAGGAGAGUUGGAACAGCAGCGGAAAUUUUUGGAAAUUCAAUUCUGACGAGAGACAACUUAUUUACGCUCGAUCACUGUUAUCGUCAACCAGCUGUGUUUUCAGAGUUACACACGAUUUCGCACGCUAACGAACGCACGAUAAGGAAAGUGUGACUUGCAUAUAAUUAAUAGACACAUGCUGUUGUAUUUUGAUACUGUGUGUAAAUUCGUAGUCUAUACGAACAAUUUAGAUUUGAUUCUCAUGGAUCCGAUAUUUGUUAAAACGAUCAUUCUAAUUAAAAGAAAAACAAAAAAUGCCGCAGUUAAGAAAACGAAUAAAGAAAUUAAUUAAUCAACCUUUACUUUUAUAAAUAUUGUGUGACUGUGAAUUUAUAGCUCGUACAAAAAAUUCCAUUUUUUUUUUGUUUUUUUUUUUUAAAUAUUCAGUACACGUAAUUUCGGCGAAAAAUCGACGUGAAUCGAUAAAAUUAUUAUCGACACGAUUUUAAUUCCAGCGUUAGAGAAAAAAAGAACUAAAUAAAUGAUCGCAUUUUAUGAGCGAAAUAAAUCAACUUAUGAAGAACUAUCGCUAUUCCAAUCAGUUUAUUCAACACACUUCAAUCAAUCCUUGUUCGAGAUUUCAUAGCUUUUUGGAUAACAACAACAAUGGACGAUCGAUUGAUCACUCAAUUUAAGCAACGCACUGCUUCAAAGCGAAAUGAACUUUUUACACAUAGUUCUAAUCUCUUUGAUUAUUAGCCUUUGAAGUUGCUUGCCACUAGUAAAGCACGUGUAUUUUAUAUAUACCCAUAGACAGUGAAAGGGUUAAUAAAAAAUCUAAUUGCAGAAUUAGAAAUUGACGAACCAUAAAGAAGAUAAGGCAGGUAGGUAAAAAAGGUUCGUAUGGGAAGCUCAUAAUGCUAUUAGUGUAUAACUUAUAAGCGUUUAAAGAUUUCCAGGGAACCUGUGAAAUUAUUUCUAAAGAAAAUGUGACACAGACAGAUGACCAGUUCUGCUCCAUUUUGGACUAUUAUUUCUACAAUGUCAGGAAUAUUCGAAGGAAUUCCAUAAUUAUUAAUUCCACGAAUGAAAGACUGCAUUCUUGCAGAAGGAAGAAAUCUCGAACAUUCAUUACAACUACCAUGAAACAAUUAAUAAAAAUAUUUGGACUUGCUUACAAUUGCUUGCAAAUUCUUACAGCUCUGCGAUAAAGCAUUUUCGAAAACGAUUUGACGAUUUUCUACCUUUUGACGUCAUUAACGUAAGUUUCCUCCCGAUCUUACAUAGCGUUACUCUCCUCUCAAUACUUCAUAUAUCGAGUAAUUUAUAUUUAUCACUAUUUGUUACAUAGAUCUGGAACACGAAUUGCACUUCAUUUGCUACAUAUUAUCGUAAUAGAUGCAGCGAGUAACAUCACUGAACGAACGUCUCAUAGACGCUCGUAAUAGACAGUGAAAAGGUUAAUAAGAAGUCGGACUACAGAAUUCGAAAUGAAGGAACAUUAUAUCUGAAAUCACAAGCAACAGAUGGUAAGGAGAAACGAUCGAAGGAAUGCAUUGUUUAUCCUGCCCGUGUCCAGCGACGUGUUACGGGUUGGCGCCAUGGUUCUCGCUAGCUGGGCAAUUUUAGCGAAGUUUCGUGGAGCUAAUGGAACGAAGAUGGAAUGUUGGCACGGUUCCGAGAGAGCGAAGGUGACGCGUUCCAGCGUGUCCUCGGACCACGGUGUGAAACAACUCGAGGACGGAAACAUCGUCUACGGCGUCUUGUUUUUGGAAACACGACGGAGGGUUCGCGGGAGGCUAGAAUCCACUCGUUGCUCGCGUGUUCUACGUCGAUCGUGCUUUAUGCAAUCCCUACUUGGUAUUUUCGAGCGAUACGAACAGAGUUUUGGGAACAGAGUUCUUAAGCAACCUUGCGGAGGGAGAAAGAACGCGAAUUCGAAAGAAGAAGAACGUGGCCAUUGAAAUAUGGCUCUAAGAAUAAUUAUAUCGAGAUAUACACGUGUUUAGAAUGAAAUGACAAAUGGGAAUUUUUAUCGUCUUUGAUGUUGAUCUUUCCGAUACCGAUCUUUUUCAUUCCUUUAAUUUUAACGUUGAUCGUAAAUUUAGUAGCAUAGUUUCCUACAGAAAUUGUCUACAGUGACUAAUACUGAUCCAAGGAAUACAUAUUUGAUUAUUAUUUUAUCGACACGCGUUAUGUUUAUUUUUCUUCUAUCUCGCGGAUCUAACAGGUUCUUUUCGUUUUCAAAUAUUCGUGUUUAAAUAUUCAGCUUCAGUCACAGCGCGGUGUUAAAAUUAAAAAACUGACGGAGGUGUACCGGCCACGUUUCUGUUCCUACGGAUCUUUGUAUAUUUACGUUCGUUUUAUUCCUAUUAGAAAAUGAAUAGAAUUCGCUAAUGAGUGUCACGCACAGAGUUUAGAAACGGACGAAGGAUAAUUUUAGCCCAUGAUAGCCCUUCGCGUAUAGAUAUGAUAAACAGGGUGAGAUACGUGCAAUCGACAUAGAACAUCGACCCCAGUCAGGACCACCCACUACUAAAACUAAUCUAUUUUCCACUCCAUAGAGGAGU